UUCGCAGAGGUCUAGGAGUUCGCAGAGGUCUAGGUGUUCGCAGAGGUCUAGGUGUUGGUGUUCGUUGAGGUCUUGCUGUUGGUGUUCAUACAGAUCUAGAUGUUCGUAGAGGUCUAUCAAUCAAUCAAUCUUUAUUUAUAAAGCCCUUUUCAUGCCAGGGAGCAGCUCAAAGUGCUUUACAUAAAAACAAUACAACAAUUAAAAGCACUUAAUACAGGAGAUAUAAAAACAAACACACGCACACACAUACAAAUACACAUAAACACACACACUCACACAAACUCGGGAAUUAAGAACACUUGAGGAAACGCUAUCUCACACAGUGGGGAAACACCAGAGAAUAAGGAACAGAGUAACAUGGGAAAAAAAAAGGAUAUAGGAUAUAUAUAUCUAGAUGUUCAUAGAGAUCUAGAUGUUGGUGUUCGUAGAGGUCUAGAUGUUCUUAGGGAUCUAGAUGUUGGUGUUCGUAGAGGUCUAGAUGUUCUUAGGGGUCUAGAUGUUGGUGUUCGUAGAGGUCUAGAUGUUCAUAGAUAUCUAGAUGUUGGUGUUCGUAGAGGUCUAGAUGUUUGUAGAGGUCUAGAUGUUGGUGUUCGUAGAGGUCUAGAUGUUGGUGUUCGUAGAGGUCUAGAUGUUGGUGUUCAUGGGUUGGUUGUACCAUGUGACCUGUUUUUUU